GCACACCCUCAUGCCGCGCGGCGAACGUUCGUUGCCAGGUGCGGCAGCCCGCCCUGGGCGCCUCCUGCCUGCGGAAGAAGAGCAGGACAGACCCGACCCGACCCGCCUAGUCCUUUCCUUCACAGCAGCCUCCAAACUCCACCGCUCGCCUCUUCCGCCAGGCUCCUAGGAUGAGGCCCAGGGCUCCUGGAGCAGCCAGGUGCAAACCAGACCGGGCUCGCACUCCACUGCGUUGCCCUGGGCGAUCGUCCACGUUCUGGGAGACUCGGUAUGCCCCGGGAGGGUGGCCUGAGCUUGUGGUGUGAAGCCAGGUACAGAGCUCCAGAAUCCUGGCCUUGCCAUGGCUGUGUGACCCUGGGCAAGUGACUCAAUUUCUCUGCCUCAGUGUCCUCAUCUAUAAAAUGGAAAGGAAAAUAGUAGCGCUUGUCUCCUCCGGCUGUUAUGAAGAUCCAAGGUUAACAGCGUAGAGAACUCGGAACGCACCCGGCAUCUAGGAAGUGCCAAGCCAGUGUCAGCUAAUGUGACUAUUUUUAAAUGGAGAUGGGGAGUGUGCCAUUAUUCUUGUCCUUAUUUGAAUGAACGGGCCCUCAGGGACCAUUUUCCACUGCCCCGCCCUGGCAGCAUGAGAGGGAAACGCUGUGAGAACCCCGAACCCCAGCCUUCUCCUGUCCCUCUCUCUCUCUCUCUCUCUCUGCACCUGGGAGGCGGGGAGGAGAGAGCCGAUCCUUCCACCAUUUACACGGAGAAUGAAAGAAGAAAUACCGGCCAGGCGCGGUGGCUCAUGCCUGUAAUCCCAGCACUUUGGGAGGCCGAGGGGGCAGAUCACCUGAGGUCAGGAGUUCGAGACCAGCCUGGCCAACAUGGCGAAACUCCGUCUCUACUAAAAGUACAAAAAUUAGCCUGGCGUGGUGCCGGGUGCCUAUAAUCCCAGCUACUCAGGAGGCUGAGGCAGGAGAAUCCCUUGAACCCGGGAGGCGGAGGUUGCAGUGAGCCGAGAUCACGCCACUGCACUCCAGCCUGGGUGACAAGAAUGAGUCUCAAAAAAACAAAAAAGAAGAAGAAGAAGAAAUACCACACAGGUCCGACCAAGAGCUGCCCCCACUCAGGCCAGGAUCCCUGCCUGGAAGGGCUCUGCAGCCACUCUCCCUGUACAGCCCCAGGAUGCUAAGGAGCAUCCCGAAGUGACACUGGCUCUCCCUGGAGGCCCCUGCCAUCGGACUCCAACCUGACCUUCCAGUGGGUGCUCCUCAUACUGGCUCCAGCCAAGACAGACGAGGACCACUGGGCACAUGCCCUUCCUUGCCUUCCUGUCACCCUUCCCACCCUUCUCUGCGGGCCCCGGGUGGCCCCUUCCUCCAGGAAGCACCUGGGGAUCAGCAGUGCCUCUAGGGUCCCAGUGGCCCACGUGACAUCUGCUUCUGGCCACCUGAGCACUCUCCUUUGAGUUCAGGGUCACUGUACCCUUUUAUAGAAAUUCGCCGGGUAUGGUGGUGCAUGCCUAUGGUCCCAGCUACUCAGGAGGCUGAGGCAGGAGGAUCACUUGAGCCCGGGAGGUGAAGGCUGCGGUAAGCUAUGACUACACCACUGCACUCCAGCCUAGGUGCGAGAGCAAGACCCUGUCUCCAAACAACAACAACAACAACAAAAUCUGAAUGCCUGGUUUAUCUUGAAAUAUGGCAAAAUGGGGCCACCCAGGCCCAUUAACCCCCUGUCUACAAUGUCCUGGAGCUGAGGGGCAUUAGCCACCCUCUCACAUGGGCUCCCCAGGGUGCCACAGCUCCCUCCUAGCUAGUUUGCUCUUUUCUGUCACCUACCGGCCCUUGCAGGGAGCUGAAUUUGAGACCCAUGAUGCACUUUGUGCACCCUGCCCCCUCAAAGAUAACUGUGAGUACCAAGGGAAAUGGAAAGCUUUGGCAACAAGAAGGGAGCUUCAAGGAAAGCCAGGCCGAGGUUCCCCUCAGAACCAUAGACUAGCCUGAAAUUCCACUGGGACUAAUUCUUCUCAUUUCAAGAAUGAAAAUCGAUUGCUGGACAGAGCUCCCGGAGGGCCAAUUUUCAGGCUGUAGUCUACAGCCGUCCACGUAGAGGCAGUGAACGAAAUUUUUCAAAGCCUACUUUAUGAUUACUUUCUUUAGCAGCUCUCAACAGUAAAAUAAAAUUGAUCUAGGACUUUGAACAAAACUUCUCGCCCCUUUCUAGGGAAGAGUUUGUCUCGUCUAUCAGGCCACCAACAAGAGUUGUUGCAAUGCCUGUGGGAGGUGCAGCCCACGCUGGGCCACCUGGCCAGCUCAGGGAUCCUGCUGGAGAUCGAGGAUUGUCUGGUCGGCCUCUUACAACUCUCAGAACAUCAUCCCUGGGAGCAGCCCUGAAGAGACCAAGGAAUGGAAAAACAGAUGGAAGGACUGCAACUCACAGGUGAAAAGGAACCGGCUACGAGAGGCUCCAAACCAAGGGAGCAGCGGAGUUUGUCUCCAAAACACCGAGCCCAGUGAGAGAAGCCAGAGCCACAGACCAGAUGCCCUGCAAGACCUUCCCAGACCACCAUGUCUCAGACAGCCCCGGCUGCCUCCUGCCUGCCCUGCACCAGCCCUGAGCCAUCGCCUCAUUUUAUUCUCAUUCUAACUUGGAUAAUGGGGAUCUGCCUCUUACCAACUGUGACCUUAGGCACAGGAUCAGCCCCAAAUUGAGCCUCAUUUUGUCCAUCUGUAAAAUGAGGAUGGCACUAGAGCCCCGUCUAGGGUGAAUGUGAAGGUCAGAGCCUGCACAAGCUCAUAGCCACCAUGCAUGACUUGGGACUUCUGAAUGGGACCAAGAAAUAUCUAACAUGCGAUUUCCUGGAAAGCACAUAGGAGUUUGGCCCAGAUCCAGACUUGGCAGUUGCUCAAUCAAGAAGAAGCUGCCAGGCACAGUGGCUUGUGCCUGUAACCCCAGAACUUUGAGAGGCUGAGCGGGGUGGAUCACCCAAAGUCAGGAGUUCAAGACCAGCCUGGCCAACAUGGUGAAAUGCCGUCUCUACUAAAAAUACAAAAAUUCGCUGGGUGUGGUGGUGGGUGCUUGUAAUCCUAGCUACUCAGGAGGCUGAGACAGGAGAAUCCCUUGAACCCAGAGGCAGAGGUUACAGUGAGCCGAGAUCGUGCCACUGCCCUCCAGCCUGGGCAACAAAGAGUGAAACUCUUGUCUAAAAAAAAAAAGAAGAAGAAGAAGGAGAAGGAGAAGGAGCGGGAGAAGGAGAAGAAGAAGAAGAAGAAGAAGCCUCAGUGAAGUGCUCCAGCAUCUUCACCCCCUUGGUCACUUGCUCAUCUCCUUGAUGAACAAAAGCGGCCCCAGAUCAGAGCCAUCGAGCACCUGCAGCCAGCAAGGUUGGCUGGUUUUCAUUGUGUGCAUUUUUAAGGCGUCUUCUAUUUAUAGAAAGGAUUGUGGUCUUGCAUUUGUAGCAGCGAUGAAAGCUUUACUUUUUGGCAAAAUGUGUGCAAGUUGUUUAGAAGUGAGUCUGUUUGAAAAAAAAAAUUAAAUGAAUAAUGAUUUAGGAGGUGAGUUUGUUUCCUAGGGCUGCUGUGAUGAAGUGCCA
rnacentral:lncRNA from 1 species